GUACUUUGCCAUACAGGACAUCCUUACCUGAUUUUACAAAGAGAAUCUGGAAUGAAUAGAAGAUAAACAGUAUCCUCAUCAUGGUGACUCCUGUAUCAAUUGCUGCUCUCAGUUCCUCUGAUGGAAUGUUGUGCUUCCAGUAGUUACUUUCACCCGCAGGACUAU